GGAUCUUAGCUCAUUUGCCAUGCCCUUCCUGGAUGGAGACGUGGAGAGCUCGGAUAAGAAUGCUUCCCGGAAGAGACGGAGUUAACAUGUUCAUCUGAAGACAAGUAGAAGGUGGAAGAGAGCUCCAACGCGGGCAGCCCUUCGAAAGGCCUUUUCUCAAAAGGGCUCCAAAAUCGACCUUCCAGCCCUGUUUCUGCCCCUGUGAGAUCUAAGCAUAGCCCAGGCUCAC